rnacentral:rRNA from 1 species
CUACAGAGGGUGCGAGCGUUAAUCGGAAUUACAGGGCGUAAAGCGCGCGUAGGCGGCUUAUUAAGUCAGAUGUGAAAUCCCCGGGCUCAACCUGGGAACUGCAUCUGAUACUGGUAAGCUAGAGUUUUGGAGAGGGAAGUAGAAUUUCAGGUGUAGCGGUGAAAUGCAUAGAGAUCUGAAGGAAUACCAGUGGCGAAGGCGACUUCCUGGCCAAAAACUGACGCUGAGGUGCGAAAGCGUGGGUAGCAAACAGGAUUAGAAACCCUGGUAGUCC